CGCAGGGCGUCAAGUGAAAUAAGGAGAAAGAUGUUUUUAAUGCCUUUUAUUAGUCUCUCUUCCUCACGUCCAGGAGCAGCUGACAUCCACCCUAGACUGUCCUUCCAAACCAGAACAGCAACCAGAGAAGUCCCCGCUCCAUUCAGAAGGGAGCAAGCAAGAUCUGCUUUGGGCAUUUAUGUUAAUGAUCACCACCUUGAGACCGUUCAAGGUCAGAAGCAGGGAGGGCAGAGGGAGUGGCUUUUCCCAAGAAGAAAAUGUCCUGGCUGCAGAUUUGAAUGGAAGCAUCCAUCUGUACCCACAGUGCCCUCUGCUUUUAAAGGACAACUUUCCACCAUCCAGGAUCUCAGGAAUAUAUGUGGUAGCCCAGGAAUAAAUAAAUAAGCCUGGAGGCAAAGAAAUUUCAAAAAGAGAAAGAGGAGGAGAAAAUGUGGUUCUAAAACCCAAAAUUUGGAAUAUUAAAAAAUUUAAUUUUUUCUCACAAUGAUGAUAUUUGCAGGCUUUGCACAUCCAGAAGGUCAGAGAAGAUGGGGUUCGGGUCAGGGUCAGAUUCAGGGAAGGACUUCAUCAACAGGUGUGCAUAAACCAACGCAUUUGCCAAGCUUGCCUGUAAGAGACAGUUAAAUGGUCAAGAACACUAAAUUCAAAGUCAAUCUGGCUUUCUGACAUGGGUUCCUGAUGUGGCUUUCCCAGCUGUGUCAUUUGAACAUGUCACACACUCACCAAGCUUCAGUUUCCUUGUUCAUAAAAUCAGACUGAACUGGGCAUUGUGGUGCAUGUCUGCAAGUCACACUACUCAGGAGCCUGAGGCAGG
rnacentral:lncRNA from 1 species